rnacentral:rRNA from 1 species
GACGUAGGGGGCAAGCGUUGUCCGGAAUCAUUGGGCGUAAAGAGCGUGUAGGCGGUCCGGUAAGUCGGCUGUGAAAGUCCAGGGCUCAACCCUGGGAUGCCGGUCGAUACUGCCGGACUAGAGUUCGGAAGAGGCGAGUGGAAUUCCCGGUGUAGCGGUGAAAUGCGCAGAUAUCGGGAGGAACACCUAUGGCGAAGGCAGCUCGCUGGGACGUUACUGACGCUGAGACGCGAAAGCGUGGGGAGCAAACAGG